GGGUACUAUAGACAUUGCAAAAUGUUGGUGUUGUAUUAAUUUGUAUUAGUAGAGGGAUUUAGGACAUUUGCAAUUAGUCACAAACUUGGAAGCUCCUUCGACAGUCACUGCCAAGUUCAAGCUUUUAGUUAGUGAUGUUUUUGUUUUCUUGCUACUAGGGAAAAAAAAAAAAAAAAACCCUUAAAACCAACAUUAAUCAAUGGGAGCGGAGUCUUGUAUUGAUCUGUUGUUGAGAUGCAGAAACGUUUUCCAUAUUAGACAAGUUCAUGCCCAUGUUGUAGCCAAUGGAACUCUCCAAGACUUGGUUAUUGCAAACAAGCUCCUUUACACCUAUGCCCAACACAAGGCCAUUGAUGAUGCAUAUUCCCUGUUUGAUGGAUUGACAAUGAGAGACUCCAAAACUUGGAGUGUCAUGGUUGGUGGGUUUGCCAAGGCUGGAGACCAUGCAGGUUGCUAUGCCACCUUCAGGGAGCUUCUGAGGUGUGGUGUAACGCCUGAUAACUACACUUUGCCUUUUGUAAUAAGAACUUGCAGAGACAGAACGGACCUUCAAAUUGGUCGCGUGAUCCACGACGUGGUUUUGAAACAUGGGUUGCUUUCGGAUCAUUUUGUUUGUGCCUCCCUUGUGGACAUGUAUGCCAAGUGCAUAGUGGUUGAGGAUGCUCAGCGGUUGUUUGAGAGAAUGCUCAGUAAGGACCUUGUGACUUGGACAGUGAUGAUUGGUGCUUAUGCAGAUUGCAAUGCGUACGAGUCAUUGGUCUUGUUUGAUCGGAUGAGGGAAGAAGGUGUUGUUCCGGACAAGGUUGCUAUGGUGACUGUUGUCAAUGCCUGUGCUAAACUGGGGGCUAUGCACAGAGCUAGGUUUGCUAAUGAUUACAUUGUGAGAAAUGGUUUCUCGUUGGAUGUGAUAUUGGGGACUGCAAUGAUUGAUAUGUAUGCAAAGUGUGGGAGUGUUGAGUCUGCAAGAGAGGUUUUUGAUAGAAUGAAGGAAAAAAAUGUUAUUUCAUGGAGUGCCAUGAUUGCUGCAUAUGGGUAUCAUGGGAGGGGGAAGGAUGCCAUUGAUUUGUUUCAUAUGAUGUUGAGCUGUGCAAUAUUGCCAAAUAGGGUCACUUUUGUGUCCCUCUUAUAUGCAUGUAGUCAUGCAGGACUUAUUGAAGAGGGGCUUCGGUUUUUCAAUUCGAUGUGGAAAGAACAUGCCGUUAGACCUGAUGUCAAACAUUAUACCUGUAUGGUUGAUCUUCUGGGCCGUGCUGGGAGGCUAGAUGAGGCUUUAAGAUUGAUUGAGGCCAUGACUGUUGAAAAAGAUGAAAGGCUGUGGAGUGCUUUGCUUGGGGCAUGUAGAAUUCAUAGCAAGAUGGAGUUGGCAGAAAAGGCUGCUAAUUCUCUACUUGAACUACAGCCGCAAAAUCCGGGACACUAUGUGCUACUAUCUAAUAUUUAUGCAAAAGCUGGUAAGUGGGAAAAGGUUGCAAAAUUUAGGGAUAUGAUGACCCAAAGAAAGCUGAAAAAAAUUCCUGGAUGGACAUGGAUUGAAGUGGAUAAUAAAACCUAUCAGUUUAGUGUUGGAGACAGAUCCCAUCCUCAAUCCAAGGAGAUCUAUGAGAUGUUGAUGAGUUUGAUUAAGAAGUUGGAGAUGGCUGGAUAUGUACCUGAUACAGAUUUUGUGUUGCAAGAUGUUGAGGAGGAAGUUAAGCAAGAAAUGUUGUACACACAUAGUGAAAAGUUAGCUAUUGCAUUUGGCCUAAUUGCUAUCCCUGAGGGUGAACCCAUUAGGAUCUCCAAAAAUUUGAGGGUCUGUGGUGACUGUCACACAUUUAGUAAGAUGGUUUCAUCCAUUAUGAGAAGGUCCAUAAUCGUUAGGGAUGCAAAUCGCUUUCACCAUUUUAAUGAUGGGACUUGUUCAUGUGGGGACUAUUGGUAGCAUGAUGACAGAGUACUGGUUAAUUUCCUGUGUCCAACAAAAUACUAUCAUGCUUACCAAGUACCGAAGAUAUAUGAUAAUUUUGAAAUGUAUUUGUUGACUACAACAGAUGGGUACUUGGUGAGUUUAGUGUUCAUAUUGGUCUUUUGCAGGUUCACACCAAAGAGAUAUCAUAUGACUAUUUGUGCGUGUAAAACAUCAGUCCAACUUGAGUAGUUAUUACAAGCAUGUAUGGAAAAAAAAUACAUGCUGAUAUAAUCUGCAUGGAAGCUUGGUGUCUUACUAUUAAUCAUUGUCUCAUCAGAAAUAUGAAUGAGAAAGAUGUUUCAAUAUCAAGAAAAAGAGUUCUCAGAUUGAUUCUCUCCACAAGAUUAAUGUGCCAUCAGAAUAUGGUUCACUCAAUGACUGUGCUUAAUUAUAAUUCCUGAAGCUUAAUUUCAAAUUUUGGGCCACUGUAUAAUCUGUUGGUGAAUUUUGCUCUAGUAAUGCAAUUCAAUAUUGAUGGUAUAUUUUGCUAGGGAAGAAGUUCUCAUCUCUUUCAUGAACAAGGCAUGGUUACUUGUGCUCAUUCUACCACUGCUUCGAGUAUGACCGAUAAAUUUGAGAAACAUUGACCGGCAAGGAUGAAUUUAUUAUCACUACUGUGAAACCAAGUUUCGUUUUGUCAAAAUCUGAUUCUCUUGUUCUGGAAAACCUGUGAAUCAAAUUGCUGCCGAUUUGUUAGUUCACCGAACCAAUUUACUAUUUGAGUAUGAAAUUUAGUGUAACUUUUGCAAAUCAUUGCUCAAUUGAUGUCUAGUUUAUGCUGUCAGUUUCACGUGUCUUAUAAUUAAAUUUAGGGUCACAA